UACGGAGGGUGCAAGCGUUAAUCGGAAUUACUGGGCGUAAAGCGCAUGUAGGCUGUAUGUUAAGUUGGGGGUGAAAUCCCACGGCUCAACCGUGGAACUGCCCUCAAAACUGGCAAACUAGAGUGUGAGAGAGGAUGGCGGAAUUCCAGGUGUAGGAGUGAAAUCCGUAGAUAUCUGGAAGAACAUCAGUGGCGAAGGCGGCCAUCUGGCUCAUAACUGACGCUGAGAUGCGAAAGCGUGGGUAGCAAACAGG
rnacentral:ncRNA from 2 species